AUUCUUUUUUGGCUUUUGGGUAAGAUGAAGUGUAGUAUCUGUUCUUACUAGUUUAAUAUCUAGUUUAAUAUCUGAUAUACCUUAGAUAAUUUAUUAAAUGGGUUUUGGGAACAGGGAGAUGAAAUAGAAACUCGCUCCAUCUACUCACAGAUUGACCUAGUAUUUCACAGAACCUCUAAGAAUGGUGCCUCUUCC